rfam:Chitinophagaceae bacterium IBVTCB1 contig000001, whole genome shotgun sequence.
GCCGCUUUAGCUCAGCUGGUAGAGCAACUGAUUUGUAAUCAGUAGGUCGCUGGUUCGAUUCCGGCAAGCGGCU